ACUGUGAAGUCACAAGAGGCCCUGAGCUCUGUGGGCCCCAGGUGCCCCGGGAAAACUUGGGGGAGAAUGGGCAUCCCACCCCAGCACUUUCUAGGAAGAAGGGCAGCAUUUUGAAGGGCUGGAAGUAGAGGAAGGAGGUUGCGGGUAGAAGACUCCAUACUUUCUGUGACGCCUAUUCCUUAGUCAGAGGCAUGGCUUGCCUGGGCCUCUGGGUGCAGCUGCACAGAUUCAAGCAGCCUGAAGGAAAGGUGACUGACAGCUAAUGAUCUGAAAAGAACUUGUCUCAACUCAACGUCAUUCCUGGCAUUAUCGAACAAAGCAAUAAACCUCACAGAAUGGAAGCUACAGUGUCCAGGGCCAGCUCUGCUAAGGUAACCAAAGACAGAGAAGGAGGCAAAAGUGACAGAAGAAACUCAUGGGAAACCAACAGAAAUAUAAUGGCUUUGGCAGAAAUGCAAUUAUCAAUUGGGAGCUUGUGAUGAAUGUUUUCUCAGUAUCCUAUGCUGAAAACAGGUAGAUACUAAUAUCGAUCUUCAAGGGAGGGCUGUUGAGUAUUGAAUAAGACAAAAACAUGGAAGCAAUCAGCACCAUGCUGGAAUCAAGGCUAUCUGUAAUCACAGGGCUAUUUGAAAAAGAGAAGAAAAGGUGUCUUGAAAUUCAACCAACAUGUUUCAAUUAUUUGCUCCUAAGAACAACAGAAGUUUCAACAUUCUGCCAACAGAGUAACUCCUGGAAGAUUGGCACAGAAGAAGGCACAAGGAAGUCAGUGAUAAAAAUAUUUAAGCAGCUUUGUCUGCCUUAGACCUUCCAACUAAAAGUACAGCAAGUGGAAUGGAAUGCUAAUAUGAGGAUCCAAAUUUUCAGGGAAGGAGGAGAGCCUUUAUAUAACCAAAGAUAUUUUUGGACCAUGAAUUCAGAAAUUCUCGGAGCCACCCAUCAGUGCCUGAGCUUCAGUGAGUCCAUAUCCCAUGUCACCCACGGCAAAGGAGACUCUAAGACUUCUGAAGAGUUUCUUGCUUCUUUCCUGUGGGGCAGUGACUCCACUUCCCAGCAGUAAUGGAAUAUCCUGAAUUAGCUACAUUAAUGUUAGAACCAUUUGGACCUCACCCAGGACUUCAACUACAUUAUGCUAAAGUUACAGAACCCAAAUUUGGCAACUGUCUGCAUCUGAACAACAGAAGUUUCAACAUUCUGCCAACAGAGUAACUCCUGGACGAUUGGCACAGAAGAAGGCACAAGGCCCUCCAAACACCAGCACUGAGUAGAAAGAGGCUCUGAUUCAUGAAAUGUGAAUUUAUGACAGUUGCCACUCUUAAAAAAAAAAACAAACAGACAGAACUUGAGCAAUACAUGACUGAUGCAUUCUCAGCCUGCUUCCUGUGUUCCAUCUGUCUUUCUGCCAGUGCAUUCACCCUCCAGGUUCUAGUAUGUUACGUUUAUGUUCCCCUGCUUUCUACAAUCCUGUUCAAAGAGUUGCUGACUUAACCACAGAGAGGAUUCCAGAACCUGAGACACAGAAUAAACUUGAGCAAUCAUAGUCCAUCCACUUCAUUGUCUCAUCAAAAACCAAAGGUCCAGUGAAGCUCUGGAACUCAACGCUGUAAAGGAGCGAAGGAGCUUCUAUACAGAGCCUGGAUGCCUGUCUCCUUAUCCUACUUCAGUGGACUUGACUGCAAUCCGGAUUAUGCUGUUUUCUAAGCAUUUAAAAUAAAAUAAAAAGUAUAAUAGUGUGAUAAGUUCUUUCACAAAGCAAGCAAUCACAUUUAUGUUUCUACUUACAUUUGGGUUUUCCAAAUAUGUGUGUGUGUGUGUGUGUGUGUGUGUGUGUGUGUAUGUAGACUUUAAACAUGGUGCAUCCAUCAUGUUGCACUAAAUCAAAACCACCAAAUAAUGAUGUAGAACUAAUAAAUCAAAACCAUCAAAUAAUGACAUAGAAAUCCAAUUCUCCCACCUUACACCCAUUAAGAUGGCUACU
rnacentral:lncRNA from 1 species